AGAAGUGAAUGAUAGGCGCACAACCCAAUAGGAGGGAGCCUCGGUGGGAGGGGCUCUCGUCCGGUUGCUCCGCGAGGGCCCCCCAUUGGGUGGCCGGGCUAAGGAGGGGAAGAUGGCGGAGUGAGAGGAAGAAGUGAAGCGGCAGCUGCGGGCUGCGGCCCGGGGGCCUCCGCUGAGGACUAUGCACGCAUCAUCUUGAUUUGCAGUCAGAACAAGAACACUGCAUUACCAGAAAGCUAGAGGCAAAUGUUGGUGAUAAAUGAAACCUCUGUUCAGCCACAGAGCAGGAGGAAAACGUCCUGUGAUUUGAUUCAAAAGAUGAGGAGCCAAGAAACUGCAGUACUCUAAUAUCAUCUCCUGUUCAGCCAGCAAAGGCUAGUUCUGAAGUGUUAGCUGUUUGUGAAUGCAUUUCCAGGAAAGGCAAACACCUUUAUCGCCAUGGAGGAAAAUGAAGAAAUAUUGCUCUAUUCCUUAUUUUGGUCCUUAACAGAAAAUGUGACACAUGAAGCCUAUAUUGCAACAAAAGCAUAUUGUCAACCCUUGUAGAGGAACUGACACAAAUAGUUGGCAUGUCACAGAAAUGGUGUCAACUGUUUCAGCUCAUUGCUCAGUUGUUUUGCACCCUAGAAAAUAUUGUGCAUGCAAAUACAGGUUAAAGCCAGUUCUGACACUUUUGCUCCUCUUUAAAAUACCUUAGGAAGUUAAUUGCCCAUUCCCUGCAUAGCUUUUGAAGAACUUAUCAAAUUGAUAUGUAAUGCAAAUCUUCUUAUAUGAAAGAUUGUGGCAAGAUAACAAAAUGAGGAACAAUUCAACCCUGGGAAAACCCUUAGUUAGGGUCUUUCCUUUCCCAAAGGGCCAAUUUCUAGAUAAUUAUCUUAAUGUCAUUGUAUAAAGCAGCUGAUGCACAGCAAGUAAGAGUCACUUUGUCCACUGCGUCCGAGUAUGUUUUCACCUUUUUAAAGCAAAGCAAACCUGCACACACAUCUGUAGAAUUGCUGGAAAGGAGCGAAGUUAUGAGUUGUUGCUUUUCUAGCAAGUUCUUCCCAAGGAGGUGAAGUUUGGAGAAUUUAAAAGUGUAAAAAGCAAACCUGGGGCAAUGGACUUGCCAUGGCCUUCCCAAAUUGAGUAGCAAACAGAACAAUAGCUUUCUCCACAAGCUUUGACCCAAAGGGCCCAACAGUGAUAGUGUAAAGGUAUAUCUGUAAUCAUUCUUCUGCUUAGAUGAACAAAGACUAGACAUGCUCAGGAAGGGCUUCUUCAAUAGUUUCUCCAGUGUCACCGCCCACAAUUAAGGUGGAAAUUGUGAUUCUAACAUGUUUACACAAGAUUCUUUGUCUCUAUCGUGUGGUUUUAUAUGGGAUAUUUUUCUUUGAGCAUGGGAUAAUAGCUGAACUCUAGCUAUGUCUUACUAGGGUAGGUGACUUCCUAGUAAAAAGCUUUUAUCUGCUUUCUUAUGCUGAACUUUAGAACCCUAAAUAGUGCACCUUACUUCAGACUGGUUAAAAUGUGAAUUUUACAGGAUUGCCAACUACUUAAAAGAAAAAUCUCAAUCUUGGGUUGGAAAUGGAGGUAAUGUUCCAAGUUAAUGUUCCAGUAACAGUCAGUCUUGGCUAACAAAAUUCUCAGUGCUACCUAACAUCUGGUGAUGGGUAGCAAAGGCAUUUUUUUUUCUGUGACUGAAAGCAGUAGCUGAUGAGAUUGGAGAACAUAUUUCCUCUUGCAUGCUUUUUUUAAUUGUUUAGCAAGAGGAGCCUAUCAAGUGAAACUUAUACUGACUCAUUGCAUAGUAUCUUAUAUAAUCUAAAUGAUGAAAGAUGUAAGAAAAAUCUUGUGAUGUCAUAUUCAGCUGCUUUCCUUGAUUGAAAAUUUGGUUCAGGAAAAAAAUGAAUUGCUGAACAGUGUAAAACCAUAAAAGAUUUGUAGCUGCAGAAUGUAAUCAGAUACAUGAGUAUCUGGCCUACGUACAGGAAAAAAAUUGUCAUUUGCUUUUUUGAAGUAUACUGAAAUCUCAACAAAUUCCUAUUGAAUUCAGUGGAGUUUUUAGAUUAUUGUCAGAUUUCUAAUUGUAAUGUAAAGUGUGCUCUACAACUCCGAACACUGAAAAACUAGAAGGAUCCAGUAUGGUGAUGCUGACUGGCCUGCAGACUUCAUGUUGUAACUUUACUCCUCAAAUACUAUUUCUAGCUGUGUGCUGGCAAAUUGUCAGAAUGGAUAUGUAAGGGAGAAGGUGGCCCUGUUAGUUGCACAAAACUCCAGCAAAGGAAUCUUCCCCGCUCCAGCCCCAUACUAACCAUGCAUUUCAUGAUGAAUGGGACUGAAGUUGAAGUCUCAGAGAAUCAACAGGUCUGCUGUGCGUGCCCAAGAAACUCCAUUGCAGUACUUGUCUCAUAGCAUUUUCUUAAGAGUACUGUACUAAGGCAAUACUGCCUUAAUUUUUUGUUUUACAUUUUGACCUGCAUCUGUUUAUUCAUGUUGGCAGGAAACUUUCCCAUAUGAAAGACUGAACAAAUACGGGGCACGUGCAAUAGUAUAAUAUAUAUACAUAUAAAUAUAUUUUAAUACUUGUGGACAAAAUGUUACAAGUUGUUUGAGAACAACAAAAUCACCAAUGUCUUCCAUUAUGAGAUGUGUAUAGUUCCAUAAGCAUUAGUGCUUUGUAGCAAAACUGUAGUGCCAUGUUAGGAUCAGUGCAUGAGCCUAGUAGUACUUUUUUUUACAAUUUCAGAGUGACAAAUUAACAUUGAUGUAACUAAUAAGAAACUGACAAGAUUAUGGUCAAGGUCUAAAGAUGCAGUGUCCUUUCUAGGCAAUAGUAGCAGAAACUGCUUUAUAAAAUCAGUAACAUAUUUGAGAUUGUGUGGAAGUUUUACUUGUAAGCAGCUAGGUACAUUCCAGGUGCAUCUGAGAGAGAGCAAGUCAAACCCAAAUUGUAGUGACAGUUUUUAAAGCACUUCUUUUGUGAGCAAAUAUUUUUGCUAUAAGGGGAAAAUUCACAGUGCAGUCUUACGCAUGUUCAUUUGGAACUAUGUCUCACUGUAUUCAGUAGGGCUUACUUCAGCUACGUUUGCAUAGGAUUGCAACCUUAGACCCCUAAAGUUUUACUGACUACUAUAGAGAAAGUAGAUGGCUAAUCCUCCCACUACAUGUUCUAGUACAAUAUCUCUGCAUAUACCAGCCAUAUUUCCUAUUCAGAAGGCCCUGCGUGCUUUGAGUCAGCUAUCCAGCAGUUGCAUACUAUACUGUACAUUCUCUGUUAUGUUAAGGUAUUACUCUUAAUGGAGAAUGAGAAUAUCUUGCAACAUUAACUAAAUUUAAAAAAAAAUAUUACUGCUACUUGCUAUUUAGAAAGCAAAAGACUCAAAGUUUCUGCAGGAAAAACUCAUGUAUGAAAUUGCUAAUAAUUUUAGAUAUUGGAUUUAAUACUUGGAAUCCAAACACCAUUACUUUCACAGCAAUUAUUUCUGUCCUAAGAAUACAUCCUGUCUUUCUUUUUCCAGAAUGCAACUUCAAAUGGGUUCAGAUGUGUUUAAGCCAUGCAUCUGGUUCUUGGAGUCUUGAAAAACAACUGUUUUUAGCUUAAAGAGGAUACUGCAUCUUUUUUGUGGUCUUGUCUGUAAAUGGCCACCUUAGGUGGGAGAAAUGUUUCUGGUUUUGAGUUGAUUACUGCCUAAAAAUUCUGAUAAUUAACUGCAGAACAAGGGAUCCUUGCAGAGAUGAUUUAUGUUUAAAGGUCUCUACCUGUUCUCUCAAAAUCGGGAAGGUGAGUUGUUUACAGAUGAGCUGUGAGGACCUGUGCUUAGUCAAGGUUCUAUUGUGAUCAAAUGUAUCUAUACCAUUGAAUGACAUAGUUUUUAGUGGUGGGGAAAAUCAAUUGAUGGAAAAAUACCUCUGAAACUGGAAUGCAAAAUAGCACAGUAUGUAGGGGGAAGAAUCCCUGAUGCAAAUAAAGCCAUAAGAUGACUUAAUAAAUAGAACUUUAGUAGCAAUAACUGUUUGCAUGUAAUAGGAACUAACUUGCAUUUGCAAGAAUUGUACAGUAGCAUAAAUGGUACUAACCAAAUAGGUUUGUGGUGCUCUGUGUUGCCUGACAAGAUGGCAUUUUUCUCUUUAAAAGGUUGGAACCUCUCAGAAGAACUUGGCAAAUGAAAGCCCCAGUGAUGAGCUUGGUUUAAACUCCUGUAUAGCUAUUUUGUUUUUCAGAAUGGGUGUAUCUAGAAGAGGUUGAUUGUGAAUGAAUCCUUAUUUUUGUUUGUAGGUAUCAUGUGAUGGAUGUACACUUGUUGAGGUGAAAGGGAACUCUUCCAAGGCUAUGAACAGGGCUAGGUUCUGCCCAUGCGUUAUUCAGGAGACUUGGUUGUAGAAGUUUGUUGCCAUUAUUGAAACUGAUUAGAUGUGACUAUAUUUUUGCAGGAUUUUGCAAAGUACAGACCAUCCAAAUAUCUCUGCAGACACAGUCUGUCUGUCCUUCACUCAACUUGUAAAACUGUUACAUGGUUUCACCUUAAUUUUUUUAGUUUUAUGGCGGUCCUUUGGGGUUGGGGAUGGGGAGAACAAGCUAUGGUUAUAGUUCAUAAUGCUUAGCAAUCGCAAUCUCUCCAACACUCUAGGAAGAGAGAAUGCAGUUCAUACCUCUUUAAAAUGCAGUUUGCACUAACCUCGUAUGCACAUGCACACUGAAGACUUAGGAAACUGUUAAGGCCAAUACGUAAUUCUUUGCCUUAAGCAAAAUUGAACUGAGGUAUGGAGACCAGAUCCUGUGAGGCUGGGGAUAUAUACUUGAAGAAAAUGGCUUUAUCUUUCUCCCUCCUCCCUCCCAUAUAAGCCAUAGUUCACACUUUACUCAUGGUUUAGCAGCAGUUUAACAUAGUCCUCUGUUAGGUUAGAAGCUCCUGUCUUAAAAGUAGAAUGCACAGAGUUUGUAUGAAGUUCUACUCCUUCACAUUUAUAAUGGACUAUGGGAGUCAGUAAUAACAUCUCUGUUUAGAAAUUGAAUUUGAAUUAAAUGAGAACUUUUGAACAUAGGAAGUAAGAGUCAGCAAAACCUGUAUAACUACUUUACUCACAUUUAAGAACCAUACAGAAUGCUUUUACUGUUAAUCUUGCAUACAAAACCAUUCCCAGGGCUAGGUUAGCCAAGGAAAUCAUUUACGCUUAGUUAUCCAUCCAGUUCUUCUGAAUGCAUCUCUUUUUGGAAGAAACUUAAAGGCAUAUCAUGGCAGUGCUGAUGGAACUAGCAUUUCUCUGACUCUUCAGAGUAACUGUUUGCAAAUACUUCUUACUGUUUGCAAAACUGGUGCUAGACUGACAUCACAAUGCUGCUGCCCAGUUGGUAGGCAAUAGAAAUUUAGUCUGGUAUCCAGAUUGCAAGUUUGUGGGCCUUGUUAAUUUCAGGGUUUGCUGCCUUGGCUACUGGUGCUAUUUGGAAGGGUCUCAUUAGGAUGCUGUUAAUUCUCUGAAGUUGCUUGCCAGUCUAGCACUGCUGCCUCAUGAAGAGCCUUGCAGCCUUUGUAGGAGUGAGGAGCUGUUACCUUUCGGGGGUUCAAAUACUUCAGCUGCAGGUUUAGCAUUGUCCUCUAUUUCCAUAAACAGAUAAUGGGAGAAAAUAUCCUGUUCUAAAGUGACUCUUCAGGGUACUUAUGGUCAUCUUACGUUGUAAUGAUGCUCCUGACAACCCUUAUCCUUUGAAUAAAAUCACAGUCUCCAGUCAAAGCACACUAGGGCAAUUGAUGAAAGGCUCUCUGGAGUUUAUUUUGUAUUUAUUUUGACUCUUCCAUUGGCUCUGCCCAUAAUGUCACUGGGCUCUCUGGUGAAAUUCUCCUUGACCAACCUUUUCCUCUUAGCUGCAGUUGGUACUAGCUUUGUCAGGACUAACCACAUGAUGUAAAGUUGUGAGCAGCAAGCAUUCGAGUUAUCCAAAGCUCUUCAUCGGGUAAAGUUCAUGCAUAAAAGAAAUGUGUGGUGAUGGGAGGAGUUGGGCAUGGUGACUGGUGAAGUCCCAAGGGUCUGCAAUUUGAAAGCGCCUUAAAAUGGAGCGUAGGAGAUACACCUAUUAAAUUAGUUAGUCUCACUAGGUGCUAGAUGUUGCUGCUUUCUGGACACAUGGGGACAAAAACAAUAUUGACACCCCCCCCCUCCGCCAUUUUAAGAAAACAUACAGUCCAACAUAACUAGCAGUUAUAGCAAAUUAGCCCUUUUAAAGUAGAGAGCAGAAGCAAAAUAGAAAAAUGGUAGCCUCUUAUAUUGGCAAAAUAUGCUGAACUACUAAUCUACAUUUUCUAAAAACCAACUGACCAAAAUUGUUUGUGUACCCCAUGUGCAUUCAGAAACCUGUAUCUAACAGUUAUUGAGGCUUAUUGGCUUUAGUCUGUGUAACUCCUGCACUCCAUGUUAAGACUGUUACAAACUGCAAGAUUUCUGGACUUUAUUUAUGUGAUUUCUAUACUGCCCUUCCCAAAAUGGCUCAGGGCGAUUUACACAGAGAAAUAAUAAAUAAGAUAGAUCCCUGUCCUUAAAGGGCUCACAAUCUAAAAAGAAACAUAAGACAGACACCAGCAACAGUCACGGGAGGUACUGUGCUGGGGUUGGAUAGGGCCAGUUACUCUUCUCCUGCUAAAUAGAGAAUUGCCACGUUAAAAGGUGCCCCUUUGCCAAGUUAGCAGGGGCUUUGCCACCAUGACGAGCUUCUCCAUUCCACACCCACUUUCCCCCAUUUAUCAUACAGCCUAAUGAAGAGAGCUAAAAAAAAACUUGCUGAUCACAACAUUGCUGUUUUAGUUGGUGCUAAUAAUGGUAUUGCCUCACUACAGCUUUUAAAUUUUUUCCAGUGAUGCAGCUACCUACAGGUUUUUUUGUUCUAUUCAGGCUUCCUUUUAUUCUCUCUCUCUCUCUCUCUUUUUUUUUUACUCUGAUCUUACCGUUAAGAGGAGGAAUCCAAGCACAAUAUUGACAAAAUACAGGGGUGCCAGUAAAUGUCUUUCACAAACAGGCUACUGGUAUAUAGGUAGCAAGUUUGCAAGUGAUAGUUAUGGGAACUUACAAGCAGGAUGUGGGAGGCCCAGGUUGAACUAUUAACAUCCGUAUGUGUGGUAGGAGAGAAAAGAGGGGUCUAUGCCUGACCUUUUCUGAAAUUCAGGGAAUGCGGGCAGAAAUGUGGAGUGUUUUGUCCUACCCAAGUAGGAGUAAAAGGUCUCUGUUUACCAGAGUGGGAAAAUGAGUAUUUUACAUGGAGAACUCCUUUGGAAUCCGGAAAGCAAAGGACUGGAUAGUGACAGAAUAUCAUGUGAUCUUGGUCGGGCUGAGUUUCCAGCAUGAAAGGUCCUACAAAUAAAGAGUUGAAGGUGUGCAUUAAUAAGUGUUGAAGGAGGAAUUGACUCCAUUCUGUCUUGGUUGGGGACAAGGGCAGAUAGUAUGGAAGCUUUGAUUUGGAGCACCUGCUGGUUGAUUUUGGGUGGAAUUCUCAAACUUUCAUAAUCACAGCACAAUCAGCGUUAGCAUUUCUUGAGUUCUGGAUGUGCUUCUCCAUGCAAAAUGAAUGUUCACUGAACAUGUUGGAAGGCAGUUGGGCUUGUGAAUUGUGAAGCCCUCAGAAUGAAAAACUUGCAUGGAAGAAUGGACAAGUGGUGCGAGCACACAGGCUCACAAACCGAGUCUUUUAUAGAUCUAGUAUUCUAAUUAUGCAUGAUUAAGAUGUCUAGUGUUAUAGUUAUUACCAGUAAAUUGAUAUAUGCAUUUAUACAUAAUGAAGCAAUAGGAAAUAAUAUACCAAUAGCUUGAAUUACUGCUUUUAUUCUCAGAUCUUGUUUUUAAACAUGCCCCCUUUAGAGAAGGGGGCAGCGUGUACAAAUAAGGGAAGAAGCAUGACACCAAAACUGUGUAUUGGAAAGAAUCAGCAGAACGAGUCCUUUUGGCCUCUUACCAGGUUCACGUUAGUUCCCUGAUCCAGGGUAUAAACUGAACAUGGCUGGUGGCAAGAUAGGUUUCUUGGCUGCUGUAACUGUACAAAUAAAAAAAGGUGCAGAGUUUCAGAGUGUGGGGAAGGCAAUAGUGUAACCCAAAAGGUGCAACAGGAAAAUGGACCAAGUCCUAGAAAAUGUUUAGGUAGCAGAGAUAAGUAACCUUAGUUGGGCCUAUUGCAACAAAGAAAAUAAAAACCCAAUAAGCAGGCCAUACUCUUCAGGUAUUGGAUAGUUUAAAAAGCAGACUUUUUUUUUAAAAAAAAGGCAGCUAUAUUAAGAUGAACUGGUUUCAAACCAGCAAUAAUGGUACCUUGCAAGAAUUAAUCUGAAAAUUGGAAACAUGUCUAACUUCCUAUGAGAGUGCGUGUGUGCACACACAUACCCACACCACCUUGCUAAAUAGGGAAGGCGUAUUUGAUCUGCCAGAGAAUAAAUGGCAAUAUAUUUUGUUUCCCUAGUUCUGCUUUAGUUACAGUGAAAACCAGUUACCUAAGUUUUGGUAAUCGUGUAUGAGUAGUAAAUAUGCAUUCUACAAGUAAGUAGUGGAUGAACAGGUGCUAGAAACAUUAGAAAAUUGGAGCUUUUGUAGUAAGGCCUAGAUUGAAGGUGCUGCUUAAGAGUCCCUGAACUCAAUUCCUUUGCUAGAUCAUGGCUAUACUAGCUUCUGAAGGGUGGCUUAGCUAAUAUGAGCACUUCAUAUCAGUUCCCCCUCUUUCCUAGAUAUGGAAGUAGUAUUUCUAUUAGGCCUGUCAAUUCUUAGUUCUGGAAGGUCUGUUCUCAGGCACACACUUUCAAGUUUGCUGUGGAGGCCAUAUUUAAUUUUUGUUCUGCCAUUGUUGGUAAAUAAUAGCUGCCAAAUAGAUAUGUAUGUACAGAGUCAUGGAAGAAGGCGUGUAGUACUGGCAUAAGCUUGACUGCCCCUCUAAUUCCAUAUCAGCAAGCAAAAUGAUCCAUUCUGUCACACAAUUCCUCCCCACUCCUCUUGUAGACUGUAAAAAUUUACAGGUAAUACAACCAAAGGGUGGAAGGUGGGUCUGUGCAACUUAAUUUCCGUUUCAUAACAAAGAUUAGAUUAUUCUGGGGUGUCUAUGGAAUCAUGUGUCUUGAAAAGAAUAAAGAGUACCAACUGAAGCCUAGCCCACCUUCUACAAGAAAUUAAGUUUCUGACUUAAAUAUUUUGAUUCAACUGAACAAGAAGAAGAGAAGGUAUAAGAAACACUGCAAACCAUUUACUCCAGUCUAGGUUAUGUAAUCAUAUUGAAAAUCUGUCCAUGUAUAUAAGUGAAGUUUUCCAAAAGGCAGCUUGCUUUUAUAUCUAUGCAUCUUUGGGGGAGGGAGGGAGGAGGUGUUUAAAUUUUGACACUCUAAACAAUAACUGUUCAAAAAUUAACUUGGAAACUCUGCACCUGUAUACAAAAUUUUUUAGCAAUAAAGCAGCAUGGGCUGAGAAUGCACUAAAAUGUAACUGUGUUAUUUCUUCUAGCAAAGGUAAACAGGAUAAUUUAAAGAUGUAGAAAUGUAGCUUACAGAUGUACCAAUUAACAAGUACUCAAAAGCACUAAGCAAACUCAAAGCUUAGUUGCAUUCUUGGUUUUUUCAUGCUACCUUACUUUUUUCUUUAAGUAUACAAGAGAACCAUAUGGUAUACGGUUGCAUGUUAGGACAUGGAUAUAGGGGUGAUUCUGUCUAAGGCAUGUCAAAACAACAUGCUACUGGAAAUACAUUCCCAUUAGGUAUAGUACUACCUGCAGAUUGCAGAGCAGCUUUCACUGUAAAAGCCAAUUUCUUAGCAACCAGACUACAAAAAACAUCAUUGGCUAAAAGCCUCAUAUUUCCAAGUCGGAGGUUUAAUUAAGACUGAAGCUUUGCAGUCUGAUCCUGUGCACAGUUUGACAGAACUAAGUCUCACUAAAAUCUGUUGGGGCUUCUAAAUAAGGGUAUACAAUCAGCUAAGAGCUGUUUAGUUUUGUAUCAACGAGUCCAAGUUGCAAAGGGUGGCAGCACACUGUGCACCUUCUCCAAGGUAAAGAUCAAAUUUUCCAUUUAAGCCCUCCAGCAAGCAGAUGUAUGCAAGAACAUCAUACAUCUUUCUUGAAACUUCUAACCUUAUGUUCUAGAAGCACCUAAAAUCUUUUGAGGCUAACUUAUACUGCUGUUUCAGCCAAUGUUUUAUUUUAGUCCAACUUCCCAAGCUUUUUAAUUGGUAAUACAACUCAAUUUUACACUGUUACUACAGAGCUGUCUUAAGCACCAUUAAAAAACUCAGUCAAAUGUUACAUUAUGUCCCCCACUGCCAAAAAAAAACCCCAAACCAAGUCUGUACAACACUUUACAUUUCCUUCAGACAAGACAACAAGUUGCACACAAGUACAGGACUAUGACAAUGCUUAACAUAUCUACAUGUCCAAGUCUGCUAUUCAAAUGAUGAAUGUAUUUUCUUGAGGCUUCUAUGAAGGAAACUGUCUUAUGUGGUCCAUGUGCCAUUUCAUGUCACACUUCAGGUGCAACCAAAGCAGCAGUUGCAGACAAAGCUGAACAAUCGCAUUCUUCACAGCAAUCAAGAUACGCAAUGACAGAAGUCAUACUGUUUAAUUUUUCAGCUUCCUCAUUGUAUACCCAGAUGUUAGGCCAUGGGGUUUUGCUUUGUAACCCUGCUUCUCAGCCACAAUCCUCUGCUGAUGCAGUUCUUCUAGCUUCUUCAUCAUCAGCUCUAUACGGGUGUGCAUUAGUACUAAAUUCUCUUUUAGCUUAAAAAAAACAAGAAGUUUAAAUCUACCUAAUUUAGGUAAAAUGGACACACAACACCAAGCAUUAGUUAUCAAGUAAUCUGCCCUAUUGGGCAAAACUUCCAGUUCAGCAACUUGUAACUAUAGGCAUUUGAGAGGCAUCUUUAUCAACGUGCACAGCUGACAGUUUUUACUGGCCAAAGCAAAUAAUAAACAAGAAUACAGAAACCAGCUUAUUACUGACUUAAGAAGAGACUCCAUGCUCCUAUUCCUUUUUAACUCUUCAGGUUUACCUUUUGUACAUGAUCCUUCAGACUCACAGGAGGAAAAGCCAUCUUUGAAGCGUCAACUGUGGUUUUCGUUUUUAACAAGUAACUGGAAAAAGUCAACAGAUAAUAUAAUUAUGUAUUCACUAAGCAUCAGAAUUGUCCAGGUACUGUACAUAGAUUUUUUUAAAGAAGACAGACCCUGCCCACAGAUGAGAACAGGAAAAGACCUUUAGAAUAUGAGCUUAUCAGUUCACAUAAGAAUGUAUGAAUAGAUGAGGAUGUAAACGUGUUUUAAAAAUCAGACAAUUCAUUCGUUUAUAUUGUAGUAUUUUAGAAUACUGUGUAAAUUUUUCUCAACCAUUUUCUGUCUCCAACAAGGGGAAUCUCCAAGAAUUAAAAUAUUAUUAUUAAUAAACAA